CAGAGAGAGACCCUGCCGGAAAGAGAAAUCUGCAGGCUGGGCUGCACAGGGAGGCUACGCGAGGCGCCCACGCCGUCGGGUCACACAGGUUGGCGCACAGCCGACGGGGCGAGAGGAGGCGGAGAAAAAUCCGCGCCACUGGGGAGUCCGAACCGAGUGACUCCCCGGGGACACUCGCGAGGAAAAGGUGUGCGUUUUUGUUGGGCUCCGGCGAGCGCUUCUGUCUGUCUUUCAGGGAACCCAAAAGAAGGUAGACCACUCUGGCUCUUCCGGGGAGCUCUCUUAAAAUAAAAGCGAUCGAAAGGG